rnacentral:misc_RNA from 1 species
UCAGGAGCCUCGCACCGCAUCUCUCCUAGUCUCCCGACAUCAACAGACACACAUCUGACACACACACACACACGCACACGCACACGCAUCUGACACAUCACCAUGGCUGGUGGCAAGUCGUCGAAGCGCGUGAAGCUGCGCACCAAGAUCGCGCGGAGGCAGCAGACUCAACACGCGACUGACGAACACGCGCCGUCGUCGAGUGGCCUCUCAUCCUCUCCGCCGCCGGUCGGCGGCGCGGGCGAGGCGACGGCAGCCCCGCCAACAGAGGUGGAUCGUCAAGCGGCGCUGCACAUCCGCGACGCCCUGCGGCAGCGCCAGGGUCGCACCGGACGUGCACCAGCUAUGAAGGUGAAGGAAGCCAGAGGUGUUCGCGCUACCGCUGCCCCUGUUGGCGCGAAGCGCAAGCACGCAAUGAACGCGAAGAAGGACAAGCCUUCAUCGCAGCGCACCGCGGCGCUGCGGCGGGCGACGGUGCUGGAGCGGCGCCGACUCACGCUACCGCGGAUGUCCGCUGCGGAGACGCGCAUGACGGUGGCGCAGGAGGAGCUGCAGCUGUUUGAUGCGGUGCAAACAGUGCCGGCGUACGCUGAAGACCCCUUCGCUGCGGUCAUGCAGCACCUGUCCGCCACGAUGGAUGUAUUGCAACCACAGACGCCAGAUGUCGGCAUUGCAGCGCGCGCUGUUGGCGCGAGACGCCGGCACUGAGUGCCGGCGUGUGCAGGCCGACCACCGCCACCGCCAUCCUCCUCCUUCUUUUUGCGGCCAUUUUGCUGAGCACGAGUGCCACGCACGGCGCUCUCUCUCUCUUUCUUGGACCCCGUAAGUGGUGCCAAGCCGGAGAACGCGCAACUUUGUGUGCCGCGAUCGAGGGGUGGGCGUUGGUGGAUGUGGCGGGGCGUGAGGAAGGGCUCGCGGCGCGCCCGUGCACACUGUGGCUGGUGCAUCGUCUACAGGAAAGCGCCCUGCCGGAGGGUCGUGUGCAGCCGCAGCCGCUGCCGACUAAGACGCUCAGCACGUCCAAGUAAAACUGAACAGAUCAGGGGAGAGGGAGACGGGAGGGGUGGGGGUGGGGCGGGAUGCUGCCCAGCAGGAGUGGUCGCUCACCCGCGACGCAUCCGGCAGUGUAAAGGCGCGCACAUCCGUGCAUGGUGGGGCUUGCGACGGGGGGUGGUGGAGCUGAUGGACCUGCACACGCAACGCCUCGCACACACAGACCUCUUCUUUCCGACAUUGCCCAUGCCAUAACAGUCACCAUAAGCCGCCCCCCGUUCUCUUUGUUCGGCGAGUCUUCGUCGUGCCGCUUACGCCGCGAGCGAACGCGCACGCACGCACGUGGCCUUGCCGACGUGGAGAUGCUCAUCGUGCCUCCGCUUUCGCAGCCUUCGUGCCAUUCCUUGUUCUUGUUUGCGUGCUACGACGACGUCGAUGCGCAGGCGCAGGCGAUUCUCCAUGUGCUCCCUUUGCUGUGCAGGACUGUCAAGUGUGCGCGCGCAUGCGAACACCACCUGUGCCAGCACCCCCUCUCUCUCGCAUAACUUCGGAAUCCCUCGACUGCGCGUCGGCUUCGACGUGCUUGUGCGCUCAUCCGCGUGCAGCGCACCCGCGCACGCAGCGAAGAGAACCACGCACAGCGCCCUUCCCCCAUUCUCCUCCACUUACCUACGCAUAGGCAGACGCAUACGCAGACCGGCAGCAAGCUGCGAACACGUAGCCGUAGAGAGGAGGCCCAAGGGAAGUGCGAGCACCGUUUACACAACACCGAAUAUGAUUUUAAAUGAGCGCUGCACACCUCUUUCCUACUCGCAAUAC